rnacentral:rRNA from 1 species
UACGUAGGGUCCGAGCGUUGUCCGGAAUUAUUGGGCGUAAAGAGCUCGUAGGCGGUUUGUCGCGUCGGCCGUGAAAUCUCCACGCUUAACGUGGAGCGUGCGGUCGAUACGGGCAGACUUGAGUUCGGUAGGGGAGACUGGAAUUCCUGGUGUAGCGGUGAAAUGCGCAGAUAUCAGGAGGAACACCGGUGGCGAAGGCGGGUCUCUGGGCCGAUAUUGACGCUGAGGAGCGAAAGCGUGGGGAGCGAACAGG